CCUGGCUCACAGAGACUUCUUAUGCCUUCUUUAAGUAAAGACGGCUUAGAGUAUUGAGAACCAAUAUGUGUAUAUGGCUUCCUGGGUAUGGGCAUGAGAAAUUGUUCCUGUUAGAAGCAUUGGGAGUGAAGCUGAGAGUGCACAGUAUCAAUAUGUAGUGAUGCAUAGAGGCUCGGAUAAGAUGGAAGAAGAAGCUGUAAAGUUACCCACCUCCUCUGUUCUUCUUUUCAAACCUGACUAGGGACAGGACAAGCGGAAGAUGAAGAGAGAUUUUAUGGCUCUGUUUCCUCCUUUCCUGCUGACAAGAUGUCUUUCUCCAUUGGUUGGAGAAAGAAGAUAUUCUGUAGGACCACAGCCUCCUGAAGCCUCCAAUAAUGCAGUGAAGGAGUGUUUAAUUUUGAACUGGAUUGCCACCAUGGACUGGAAUGCUGCGCCAGAUUGGACUAACACUCCAGUCUGAAACACUGCACCAGACUGGAAUGCCACACCGGACUGGACCACCACUCUGAACUGGAACACCACACUAGACUGAGACACCACACCAGAUUGGAACACCGCACUGGACUGGAACACUGCACGGGACUGAAACUCUCGCACAGAAUGGGAACACCUCACCAGUUUCAAGACUACUAUUCAGAUGUCACCGUUUCACAUACUGCUGCUCUGUAUAAAAAAUCAAAACCAACAAAUGAACAAAAAUAAUGAAAGGCAAAA